AGGGAUGACGGGGUCCCUCU
rnacentral:misc_RNA from 1 species